UUAAAAUUCUGCCUGGUAAAGAAGAUACUUCGGUUCUACAAAAAAUUGAUGGAAAGAAACAUCCUUAGAACUCUGUUGAGUGUGUUUCCUAUGGGACUUAUGUUUUCUUCCUUUAGUUCCAUGAUGGAUUGAUUUUGUACUUGUCACAAAAAGGGGAGAAGAAUGUCAACCAAAGGUUAGAUUUUACAACCAUGGUGGUUAAAAUGAAUGCAUGUAUGGGUGAUUAGUGUACUCUGCAUAUAUACAAUUGGAAUCUUCAUAUUGUUAAAGUUGUUACAUACAUCUUCACAUUGUUAAAGUUGUUACAUACACUGCGUAGUGGUUAAUAUUAGUGCAUUUGUGAAAGUUGUAGCAUACUUGCAUACGAUAUAUAGUGAUUAAUAUUAGUGCAUUUGUAGGGAUGUUGCAUAUGUUACCUCAAG
rnacentral:misc_RNA from 1 species